UGAGUGCCGUACGGGUGAGUAACGCGUGGGUAACCUGCCUCAUACAGGGGGAUAACAGUUAGAAAUGACUGCUAAUACCGCAUAAGCGCACAAAACCGCAUGGUUUGGUGUGAAAAACUGAGGUGGUAUGAGAUGGACCCGCGUCUGAUUAGCUAGUUGGAGAGGUAACGGCUCACCAAGGCAACGAUCAGUAGCCGACCUGAGAGGGUGACCGGCCACAUUGGGACUGAGACACGGCCCAAACUCCUACGGGAGGCAGCAGUGGGGAAUAUUGCACAAUGGGGGAAACCCUGAUGCAGCAACGCCGCGUGAGUGAAGAAGUAUUUCGGUAUGUAAAGCUCUAUCAGCAGGGAAGAAGAGAGACGGUACCUGACUAAGAAGCCCCGGCUAACUACGUGCCAGCAGCCGCGGUAAUACGUAGGGGGCAAGCGUUAUCCGGAUUUACUGGGUGUAAAGGGAGCGUAGACGGCUUGAUAAGUCUGAAGUGAAAGGCCAAGGCUUAACCAUGGAACUGCUUUGGAAACUAUGAGGCUAGAGUGCUGGAGAGGUAAGCGGAAUUC
rnacentral:rRNA from 1 species